GAUGAACGCUGGCGGCGUGCCUAAUACAUGCAAGUCGAGCGAACAGAUAAGGAGCUUGCUCCUUUGACGUUAGCGGCGGACGGGUGAGUAACACGUGGGUAACCUACCUAUAAGAGUGGGAUAACUUCGGGAAACCGGAGCUAAUACCGGAUAAUAUUUCGAACCGCAUGGUUCGAUAGUGAAAGAUGGUUUUGCUAUCACUUAUAGAUGGACCCGCGCCGUAUUAGCUAGUUGGUAAGGUAACGGCUUACCAAGGCGACGAUACGUAGCCGACCUGAGAGGGUGAUCGGCCACACUGGAACUGAGACACGGUCCAGACUCCUACGGGAGGCAGCAGUAGGGAAUCUUCCGCAAUGGGCGAAAGCCUGACGGAGCAACGCCGCGUGAGUGAUGAAGGUCUUCGGAUCGUAAAACUCUGUUAUUAGGGAAGAACAUACGUGUAAGUAACUGUGCACGUCUUGACGGUACCUAAUCAGAAAGCCACGGCUAACUACGUG
rnacentral:rRNA from 1 species